rnacentral:rRNA from 1 species
AGAGUUUGAUCCUGGCUCAGGAUGAACGCUAGCUACAGGCUUAACACAUGCAAGUCGAGGGGCAGCAUGGUCUUAGCUUGCUAAGGCCGAUGGCGACCGGCGCACGGGUGAGUAACACGUAUCCAACCUGCCGUCUACUCUUGGACAGCCUUCUGAAAGGAAGAUUAAUACAAGAUGGCAUCAUGAGUCCGCAUGUUCACAUGAUUAAAGGUAUUCCGGUAGACGAUGGGGAUGCGUUCCAUUAGAUAGUAGGCGGGGUAACGGCCCACCUAGUCUUCGAUGGAUAGGGGUUCUGAGAGGAAGGCCCCCCACAUUGGAACUGAGACACGGUCCAAACUCCUACGGGAGGCAGCAGUGAGGAAUAUUGGUCAAUGGGCGAGAGCCUGAACCAGCCAAGUAGCGUGAAGGAUGACUGCCCUAUGGGUUGUAAACUUCUUUUAUAAAGGAAUAAAGUCGGGUAUGGAUACCCGUUUGCAUGUACUUUAUGAAUAAGGAUCGGCUAACUCCGUGCCAGCAGCCGCGGUAAUACGGAGGAUCCGAGCGUUAUCCGGAUUUAUUGGGUUUAAAGGGAGCGUAGAUGGAUGUUUAAGUCAGUUGUGAAAGUUUGCGGCUCAACCGUAAAAUUGCAGUUGAUACUGGAUAUCUUGAGUGCAGUUGAGGCAGGCGGAAUUCGUGGUGUAGCGGUGAAAUGCUUAGAUAUCACGAAGAACUCCGAUUGCGAAGGCAGCCUGCUAAGCUGCAACUGACAUUGAGGCUCGAAAGUGUGGGUAUCAAACAGGAUUAGAUACCCUGGUAGUCCACACGGUAAACGAUGAAUACUCGCUGUUUGCGAUAUACUGCAAGCGGCCAAGCGAAAGCGUUAAGUAUUCCACCUGGGGAGUACGCCGGCAACGGUGAAACUCAAAGGAAUUGACGGGGGCCCGCACAAGCGGAGGAACAUGUGGUUUAAUUCGAUGAUACGCGAGGAACCUUACCCGGGCUUAAAUUGCAGAUGAAUUACGGUGAAAGCCGUAAGCCGCAAGGCAUCUGUGAAGGUGCUGCAUGGUUGUCGUCAGCUCGUGCCGUGAGGUGUCGGCUUAAGUGCCAUAACGAGCGCAACCCUUGUUGUCAGUUACUAACAGGUUCUGCUGAGGACUCUGACAAGACUGCCAUCGUAAGAUGUGAGGAAGGUGGGGAUGACGUCAAAUCAGCACGGCCCUUACGUCCGGGGCUACACACGUGUUACAAUGGGGGGUACAGAGGGCCGCUACCACGCGAGUGGAUGCCAAUCCCAAAAACCUCUCUCAGUUCGGACUGGAGUCUGCAACCCGACUCCACGAAGCUGGAUUCGCUAGUAAUCGCGCAUCAGCCACGGCGCGGUGAAUACGUUCCCGGGCCUUGUACACACCGCCCGUCAAGCCAUGGGAGCCGGGGGUACCUGAAGUGCGUAACCGCGAGGAGCGCCCUAGGGUAAAACUGGUGACUGGGGCUAAGUCGUAACAAGGUAGCCG